rnacentral:rRNA from 1 species
UACCAGCACCCCGAGUGGUCGGGACGUUUAUUGGGCCUAAAGCAUCCGUAGCCGGUUCUACAAGUCUUCCGUUAAAUCCACCCGCUCAACGGUUGGGCCGCGGGGGAUACUACAGGGCUAGGAGGCGGGAGAGGCAAGCGGUACUCGAUGGGUAGGGGUAAAAUCCACUGAUCCAUUGAAGACCACCAGUGGCGAAGGCGGCUUGCCAGAACGCGCUCGACGGUGAGGGAUGAAAGCUGGGGGAGCAAACCGG